UGGGGAAUAUUGCACAAUGGGGGAAACCCUGAUGCAGCGACGCCGCGUGAGCGAAGAAGGCCUUCGGGUCGUAAAGCUCUUUUAUAUGGGAAGAUAAUGACGGUACCAUAAGAAAAAGCCCCGGCUAACUACGUGCCAGCAGCCGCGGUAAUACGUAGGGGGCUAGCGUUGUCCGGAAUCACUGGGCGUAAAGGGUUCGCAGGCGGCAAUGCAAGUCAGAUGUAAAAGGCAAAGGCUCAACCUUUGUAAGCAUCUGAAACUGUAUAGCUUGAGAAGUGUAGAGGCAAGUGGAAUUUUUAGUGUAGCGGUGAAAUGCGUAGAUAUUAAAAAGAAUACCGGUGGCGAAGGCGACUUACUGGGCUCAUUCUGACGCUGAGGAACGAAAGCGUGGGUAGCAAACAGG
rnacentral:rRNA from 1 species